rnacentral:SRP_RNA from 13 species
GCCAGAUGCGGUGGCACGUGCCUGUAGUCCCAGCUACUCGGGAGGCUGAGGUGGGAGGAUCUCUUGAGCCCAGGAGUUCUGGGCUUUAGUGCACUAUGCCGAUCGGGUGUCCAUACUAAGUUUGGCAUAAAUAUGGUGACCUCCUGGGAGUGGGGGACCACCAGGUUGCCUAAGGAGGGGUGAACCGGCCCAGAUUGGAAACGGAACAGGUCAAAACUCCUGUGCUGAUCAGUAGUGGGAUUGCGCCUGUGAAUAGCCACUGCACUCCAGCCUGGGCAACAUAGAGAGACCCUGUCUCUU